UACGGAGGGAGCUAGCGUUGUUCGGAAGUACUGGGCGUAAAGCGCACGUAGGCGGCUUUGUAAGUUAGAGGUGAAAGCCUGGAGCUCAACUCCAGAAUUGCCUUUAAGACUGCAUCGCUUGAAUCCAGGAGAGGUGAGUGGAAUUCCGAGUGUAGAGGUGAAAUUCGUAGAUAUUCGGAAGAACACCAGUGGCGAAGGCGGCUCACUGGACUGGUACUGACGCUGAGGUGCGAAAGCGUGGGGAGCAAACAGG
rnacentral:rRNA from 1 species